rnacentral:lncRNA from 1 species
CAACGUAAAUCGUUGAAAAAAAUAUUAAAACAUCUCAUCUCAAGAAUAGUGUAUCAAUUCAGUUUGAGACGUCAUAAAGAAAUGCUUCAUUGCGUUGGUUUGCAAUAAGUAGCUUGCUAUUUUUUCGAUCGAAGAACGCAGACUGUGGUUUUUUAAGACCAUCUUUCUCUGACAGUAACACUCUGUGUGUGCUUCCCUCUCGUGAAAUGACGACGAAUUUGUAAGAUCCACAGCCCGAUACGUAAACACGUCCAUAGUUGUCAACUGUAAUACCGUGUGCGUUUAUGAGAAAUAUUUUCUUUUCUAAUUUCCAUUUCAAUGUACCUUGGAGAUCACAGCAUCUUACUGAAUCAUCAUUGUUUAUAAAAUAAAGUUGAUCUGACCACAUUGCAAUGCUGCUAUAUCGAUUCAAUGUAUCGUUAAUUAGUUGUGUUAUAGAGUCGU